ACUAGGAGGUGACUUGUAAAACACACUCACCUUAUUUUUGUUGCUGUUAGGUCUUGGGCCAAGGUGCAGAGGCGGUACCACAGACCAUUGUGAUGCAAGGGGAAUGUGUCUGCUGCCAUUACCACAUUCCUCAAGUUUCUCAGGAUCUCAUCUUUGUCAUUUCCCCCACCAUGUGUCCAGAAGCAGGUGUCACACCCAAGAGUGACAUCAACACUGGCUCUGCCAAAACUGCUGAGAAGCACAAAGCUAUUUUGUAUGCAGGAGGGCCUGGUCCUUUCCCAGGAUCACCUUGCAGGCUGUACCCCAUGGACCACCCUUCACCACCAGUCAUGGGCUAUAGGCCACAUCCCCCUCCUCCACCAGCUUCUCCACCUACUCUAUUUGUUAAGAUGACCUGAACUGGAUGAGUGGCUGGUAAAGUAUAUUCAUCUUCUUCAUGACUGACUUUGUGGCAAUGAUAUAGAGAUGGUUGUGAGUCUUGGCAAUCCAACUACAAACUGCCUGAGGACACUGUAACAUAUCUCAAGUUUCUCAGGACAUACACACAAUGGGCAGUGUCCUUUCCCAGUAAUAUGGUGAGCUAUAUGUUUCUCUUGUCAAAUGAAAGAGGAUUUUUUACACAAAAGCAGACGUGUCAGCAGUACUGCUGCAUAUUUUGGAGACACAAUGUUUUGGGUUCUGUAGAGAAUGAGGAGCACCCCUAACUUUUAGAGCAUCAGGUGUCCUGUGUGAAAGAGGGACAUUCAUUAAAUGAUGCAGACCUUGUGAUCACCAUAAUGGAAACACCAGUGAAGGAUCCAGUGCAAAAACAGGGAAACCUUGAAUCAUACAGGAAUAGAAGGGAAGUUGAGCACAGUAAGCAAAGUUUGAGGAGGCGCAGAGGGGAGGGUGUUGGGGUCAGUGAGAUGCAGUUGGAGGUCAUUUCUGGCCACAGCCUGAGCAGGGAGUGUCAGGUCCAUAUGGAGCUGCUACGUGGGAUCGCUCUCAGUGCACAAUGCAGUGUUCGUGUGUUGCCAAAGUGCAUGCAGGUAAUGAUCUAAAAAGAUUAUUGUCUCCCUGGAUUUUCCUGAAGGUUCUGGAUAUUUGUGGGGGAAAAAAGCCCUGGAGAUAUUGGGAAUUUAACUUGGUCUUAUUAAAAUGCUCUAUGCCCAAGUUCAUAUCCCUCAGUGAGACUAAAAGUGGAGACAGGAUCUAGAUCAGCUGAGUGCCUGCAUUGGCCUUCAGCCUGGGUCAACCUACAAUUUAGGGCUGCCCAGAUGCCACCCUUGCUAGACCCCUGACAUCAC